rnacentral:rRNA from 1 species
UAAGGAAUAUUGGUCAAUGGACGCAAGUCUGAACCAGCCAUGCCGCGUGGAGGAUGAAGGUCCUCUGGAUUGUAAACUUCUUUUAUCUGGGACGAAACACUUCUUUUCUAAGAGGCCUGACGGUACCAGAUGAAUAAGCACCGGCUAACUCCGUGCCAGCAGCCGCGGUAAUACGGAGGGUGCAAGCGUUAUCCGGAUUCACUGGGUUUAAAGGGUGCGUAGGUGGGUAUGUAAGUCAGGGGUGAAAUCCCCGAGCUUAACUUGGGAACUGCCAUUGAUACUAUAUAUCUUGAAUACCGUAGAGGUAAGCGGAAUAUGUCAUGUAGCGGUGAAAUGCUUAGAUAUGACAUGGAACACCCAUUGCGAAGGCAGCUUACUAUGCGGUGAUUGACACUGAGGCACGAAAGCGUGGGUAGCAAACA